AGAGUUUGAUCAUGGCUCAGAUUGAACGCUGGCGGCGUGCCUAACACAUGCAAGUCGAGCGGUAACAGGUGUAGCAAUACAUGCUGACGAGCGGCGAACGGGUGAGUAAUGCUUCGGAAUCUACCUUAUGGUGGGGAAUAACUAGCCGAAAGGUUAGCUAAUACCGCAUACGUCCUACGGGAGAAAGCAGGGGAUCGUAAGACCUUGCGCCAAAAGAUGAGCCGAAGUCGGAUUAGCUAGUUGGUAGGGUAACGGCCUACCAAGGCGACGAUCCGUAGCUGGUCUGAGAGGACGACCAGCCACACUGGGACUGAGACACGGCCCAGACUCCUACGGGAGGCAGCAGUGGGGAAUAUUGGACAAUGGGGGAAACCCUGAUCCAGCGACGCCGCGUGUGUGAAGAAGGCCUGCGGGUUGUAAAGCACUUUUAGUGGGGAUGAAAUGUUCAUGGCUAAUACCCGUGGAUUUUGACCUAACCCACAGAAAAAGCACCGGCUAACUCUGUGCCAGCAGCCGCGGUAAUACAGAGGGUGCAAGCGUUAAUCGGAAUUACUGGGCGUAAAGCGUGCGUAGACGGUUACAUAAGUCGGGUGUGAAACCCGGGCUCAACCUGGGAAUUGCAUUCGAGACUGCGUAGCUAGGGUGCGGAAGAGGGAAGCGGAAUUUCCGGUGUAGCGGUGAAAUGCGUAGAUAUCGGAAGGAACACCAGUGGCGAAAGCGGCUUCCUGGUCCAGCACCGACGUUCAGGCACGAAAGCGUGGGGAGCAAACAGGAUUAGAUACCCUAGUAGUCC
rnacentral:rRNA from 1 species